CAUGUGGUUUAAUUCGAUGCAACGCGAAGAACCUUACCUGGGCUUGACAUCCCGAGAAUCCCCUGGAAACAGGGAGUGCCUUUCGGGGAACUCGGAGACAGGUGCUGCAUGGCUGUCGUCAGCUCGUGUCGUGAGAUGUUGGGUUAAGUCCCGCAACGAGCGCAACCCUUGUCCUUAAUUGCCAGCAUUCAGUUGGGCACUUUAAAGAGACUGCCGGUGUUAAGCCGGAGGAAGGUGGGGAUGACGUCAAGUCCUCAUGGCCUUUAUGCCCAGGGCUACACACGUGCUACAAUGGGUGGUACAAAGAGAUGCCAACUCGCGAGAGCGCGCCAAUCUCAGAAAGCCAUCCUCAGUUCGGAUUGUGGGCUGCAACUCGCCCGCAUGAAGUUGGAUUCGCUAGUAAUCGUGGAUCAGCCAUGCCACGGUGAAUACGUUCUCGGGUCUU
rnacentral:rRNA from 1 species